rnacentral:rRNA from 1 species
GACGACGCUGGCGGCGUGCCUAAUACAUGCAAGUCGAACGAGUGGCGGACGGGUGAGUAAUGUCUGGGAAACUGCCUGCUGGAGGGGGAUAACUACUGGAAACGGUAGCUAAUACCGCAUAACCUCGGAUGUGCCCAGAUGGGAUUAGCUAGUAGGUGGGGUAAAGGCUCACCUAGGCGACGAUCCCUAGCUGGUCUGAGAGGAUGACCAGCCACACUGGAACGGAGACACGGUCCAUACUCCUACGGUAGGCAGCAGUUGGGAAUAUUGCACAAUGGGCGCAAGCCUGAUGCAGCCAUGCCGCGUGUAUGAAGAAGGCCUUCGGGUUGUAAAGUACUUUCAGCGGGGAGGCGUUACCCGCAGAAGAAGCACCGGCUAACUCCGUGCCAGCCGCCGCGGUAAUUC